rnacentral:snRNA from 1 species
AUACACUCUGAGAUCUCUGCUCUUAUCAGUUUAAUACCUGAUACGUCCUCAAUUCGAGGACUCUAUAUUAAACAGAUUUUUAGGACAGGGAGACGGACAUACUAUAGCUUGCUCUGGUUGCUCCAUGCAUCGGCCUGGUAUUGCAGCACUUCCAGGAACAGUGCACUUCCC